GGGCCAUUAGCUCAGCUGGUUAGAGCAGCGGACUCAUAAUCCGUUGGUCGAAGGUUCAAGUCCUUCAUGGCCCACCA
rnacentral:tRNA from 4 species